ensembl:lncRNA
AAGGGAAACAAAUAAGCACACAAUUUAUUGGCAGGGUCUAGCACAAGUAAUCGGCUAUUUGCAGAUACACACACAGGAAUUACAGAAAAAUUGAACUGGGCUUGCAAGAACUUUGGGAGGAAUUACUGUAGGUGGAAAUAGCUGGGGGUUACUGCUGAUUUUGUUUGCUUAGAGGCUAAAGGGAGUUUCUGGGUUAGCCCAUCCUGCAUUCACCUCGAGAGCAGGAGAUGCUGUUCCCACUGUCUGUAUCUCAUCUCUCCAGCAGCACCUUGGCUUGCCCAAAGGGCUUUAGCCAAGCAGGCUCUAGUCCUUCCUUGUGCACAUCUGCUUUGCUCCCACCCCAAGCCAAACCUCCAGCAGGCAGCACCAUGCUGCACUUUCCUUAGAGGAAACCCUGGAAAAGCACACACACACUUUGCCAGCAAACACAGCACCCAGGUGCUGAAGCUGUCUUUGUGUCUGGCUUUUGCUCCUUCCAUCCAGCAUUGCCAAAGGCAGAUCCUGGCAGCAGGUCCUGCAGGAGGUGGAUGUGCCUCUGCUGAGAACAGCUGUCUGUGCCAGAGGCCAGCCUUCCAGCCACGCUGAGUGUGCAAUUUGUUUCCCAGGGCUUGAUUUAGCACAUCAUUUUCUGUUAAAACAGCCACUGGCCAAACUAACACAUCUGUUUGCUCAGAGUCUGUCUGGCUCCUCCACGGGAAGGGCUGCUCCCAACAAAUCCCUUCCAGAGGUUACAAACGGCUCCCCCUCCAUCUCCAGUGCACUUGGGUGACUGAAAUCCCUCAUUCAGACACUCACAAAUCCCACCCUGCUUUCCUCCUGUGCUGACACAGGCCUUUGUCUGCCCCAUUCCUGGUGCAACACAUUUGAUCAGCACAAAUGGAGGCACUGAAAAUUAGUGGUGAGAGCAGGAGAUGAUGAUUUUUGCUCAUCCUUCGUCAAUGAAAACAUUCCUCAAGCAUCCAACACACCUAGAUAUUCCCAUACAACACAGAAAGGGACUUUUAUAUGGCAGAUAUGCAUUUCCCAAGACUAUUAAUAAAUCUUCCCAUGAGGCUGUUGUUGGGAUAAGGUAUCAUGGACAUAUUUAAAAGAUGUGUAGAUGUGUGACUGAGGGAUGUGGUUCAGCGGUGAGUCUGGCAGUGCUGGAUUAAUGAUUGAACUCAAUGAUCCUAAAAGUCUUUUUCAACUUAAAUAAUUCUACAAUUCUAUGACCCUUUCUGUUGGAAGCUGCUCUUGAGCUUGAUCUUGGCAAACAAAUGGGAACAAACCCCAGAUUUCCACAAUAUUAUAAGGUUUCUUCAGCAACCACAGGUGGCAUAGAUAUAACUACACCCUUUAUUUCUCAUGUAGUUUUCUAGCCAGAUUUAGGUCAGGAAAGAAGUCUGUGAGGUGUUUAUUCAUUCCUGGCAGUGAACUGGGUGAUUUUUCUGCUCUGUUAACAUUGCAGGUCUCGUGAUACAUAUUGGCCCAGGCCAGAGCACUUGGCAGUGCCACACUCUGCCCCUCCAGCCACAGGAUGCUGGUCAGUCACGAGGAGCACAGUGGGAUUUCUCCUGUGAUCUCCUUUUCCUUCCCCAGUCUCCCAGGUCAGUUUUGGAGGCACAGGAAAUUGGGCCAAACCUGGGCUUUCUCUUACUUUUCUCAGCAAAGCUCCCUCUUCACAUUGAGCUAGAGAUGGGCUGGUCCUCAACAUUAUUUUAGCAGUUAUUUUAAUAAAAAAGGUGGCAGCUGGAAGUCUAAGAAGGAUGGGAGCCAGGCACCUUAAGAAAUGAUAAUUGCAGACUUGGAGCAGUGCUGAGAGUUAACGGAGAGAUGUUUAAUCCAAUUCUCAGCUUCUAUUUUAGGAUCCUUUUAACUUUCAAAAUCAAAAAAAAAGAAGAGGGGAGGGGAAGAAAAAAAUAAUCUCCAUCACAGUGCAAUUUCUUAAGCUUGUUCACAGCCCAAAGGUGAAUUUUUGUUCAUGUGAGGAUUCUGAAGAAAAUCCAUUCAGCUGUUUCAGAGGUUUCAGAGCAUGAAAGCAACAUCUGGUUCAAAAAUAAAAAAUAAAGAGAAAUUCCCUUUGCUCAUCAGAGUCAAAAUGGGUUUUGGUUUCACACAUCUGAUUUGGUGUAUCUUGAGCUGUCCCCUGGAGAAAGGUAGCCAUUUCUGCAUUGAUUUGAAGGGGAUGGAAUUGUGUUGCAAACUCCACAAAAAUUAUGGUCAGCCAGACAGGAGGGCAGGUGCUACUCACACCUCCACUGCCAUCCAGUCCAACACAACAUGGCCCAUGGCCCCUAAAUUGCCAAUUUAAUUCACUGCAGGAAGGUCUCUCACAGCCUGCUGCCUCCUUUGGGGUUUUUUUUUGGGUCGUGGUGUGAUUUUUGGAGCGUGGUUUGCUGUGCUCUGCGCUGCGCUAUAGAUGGCACUGCAGGAUGGAAAUUGCAGUCUCUUUGCUCUGGAAUAACAACCCUGGGCUGUGGUGGCUCCUGCAGCUUGUCCCG